rnacentral:lncRNA from 1 species
GUUAUUUUUUUUAAAAGCACCCAAGAGGGCUUCCUCUUCCUCCUCUGUGCCCGUGUGCAUUCAGUAUUUAUUUUUGUACUCCUUUGUUACUGAUAAUAGGAAUUGCAGAUCGGUAGAGACCUAACCCCCAUGUGCAGAGCACCCAGGUCCCAGAGCAGCGAUUCUGUCCCAUUUGCUGCAUAGACAACUGGACUAUAAGUCAUUACCAGUGAGUAAAUUACUGGAAGGGGCAGUCAGCAAUUCAAAUGAAGGCAAUGGGCAAUAAUGUGGUCACCUUUUGACUUGUAUCCUGCUUUGUUGAAGGUGUGAUGCAAUCCAAACAAAAAAACCAAGCAUUAGAAAUGGAGGCAGAUGAAAUAGAUGAAGUGAUCCAACUGGCAACACGCCGCAGGAAGACAGUGCCGGGUUUCCAGCUCUCACGCUGCCACGCAGUAAAAUAACCAAGUGGCUCCAGGCAUCUCUCCAGCCUGGGAUCUGCUCCUGCCCCAGGAUGGGUUUUUGGAGCAGCCUUUGAGUACGGCCGUCAUGUACAGCUGCAUGAGCAAGACAAGGUUCACCCACAGACAUCUCGUUCCUCUCCAGCUCCUCCCCCUCCGUACCAUCUGCUGAGGCUUUUGGGGUGGUCCUCCCAGCAAGGCUUCUGCAAGGCUUGGAGCAGGGGAAUGCCCGGCUUUGCAGAAACAGGUUUUGUUCAGGUCAUUUUGUCAUGCAGCACUGGAAUUCUGGAACCAGGUAAAAAAAUCUCAGCCUUGUAUUUUUGGAAAUGAGCCUAAACUCCAAAAUCCACACGGUUCCAUCUCCCCUAAUUACAACCUGUCUAAGGCUCUAAUGGGUCCCAGCAGUACCAUAUUAAUAGUAGAGAAUUAUUACAUUGUACAUACUUUACAUUUAAUCUAGUUGUCUAGGUUAUUGGACAAAAAGGCUCCAUAAAAGGACAUCAGCCUGCUGCUGUUGGAUUGAAUUUUUCUGGAUUAUGGAUUGAUUUUUUAAGUUUAAUGCAAGGAGAUGGUUACAUGGUACAAUAUGUAUUGUAAGCAUCUAUUUAUUAAAGCUGAAUUGCACUAGAACAAGUUCAAAAGUAUACAUGGUAUCUAAAUGAAUAGCAAAUUAAUUCCCCACUCUCUCUGCUAUUGGC